rnacentral:rRNA from 1 species
UACGGAGGAUCCAAGCGUUAUCCGGAUUUAUUGGGUUUAAAGGGUGCGUAGGCGGCCUAUUAAGUCAGGGUGAAAGACGGUAGCUUAACUAUCGCAGUGCCUUUGAUACUGAUGGGCUUGAAUGAACUAGAGGUAGGCGGAAUGUGACAAGUAGCGGUGAAAUGCAUAGAUAUGUCACAGAACACCAAUUGCGAAGGCAGCUUACUAUGGUUUUAUUGACGCUGAGGCACGAAAGCGUGGGGAGUCAAACAGG